GUAAUGAUGCCAGCACUGCAGGAAGCAGCUGACGCUGCCUUCCCCUCGCCCCUCACCGCCAGAACACCUCGUAAACGUAUCUUUCCUCACAAACACCGCGCGAUUCGUCGACAGGCAGUUGAGGGAGGACCAGGGGGGUGAAACUCAUAUAGGGAUUUCCGGUAACACGACGUUGGUUUGGUCCCAGGCCACUUGGAGCGCUGCAAGUUUAGCAAUUUAUAGUCUCGUGUUCCUAUUGGAUGACGUAGUCUUCCAUAAUUAUUUUGGUAUCGUAGCAACGUGAUUGUGAUUUUUCGUUUAAAUUGCAGUGUAAGUAUGUUGCUAUUAUUCUGCUUAAUUUUUGGAUGCAUUCGUAAUAUUUGAUGGUGUGAUGAUUCAGUAUUUCCUUUUUUACUUUUCAUAUAAAACACGAGGUUGUAUCAUCACAUUACGUUCUGUGGACUCUUGUAUAUUUGUUCCUGCAAAGAAGUACAAUUUCCGUUGCUCAGUUUACUUAAAGGACACAUGAGGAUGGAUCAUACAGGAAGAGAAGAAUCCAGUUUGAGAUUGAAAUUGAAAUACUCAUGCAAGUUUCCUGGAUGCAGGAGUAGUUAUUAUGUAAAAAUAAAUUCCAAGCACAAGAAUAAA